rnacentral:rRNA from 1 species
UACGAAGGGGGCUAGCGUUGUUCGGAAUUACUGGGCGUAAAGCGCGCGCAGGCGGUUCUUCAAGUCAGUGGUGAAAGCCCGGAGCUCAACUCCCGGAAUUGCCAUUGAAACUGUGGAACUUGAGGAUGAGAGAGGUGAGUGGAAUUCCCAGUGUAGAGGUGAAAUUCGUAGAUAUUGGGAAGAACACCGGUGGCGAAGGCGGCUCACUGGCUCAUUUCUGACGCUCAGGCGCGACAGCGUGGGGAUCAAACAGG